GGUACGUGAGCUGGGUUUAAAACGUCGUGAGACAGUUUGGUCCUUAUCUGUUGCGGGCGCAGGAUAUUUGAGGAGAUCUUUCCCUAGUACGAGAGGACCGGGAUGGACGAACCUAUGGUGUACCAGUUGUUCCGCCAGGAGCAUCGCUGGGUAGCUAUGUUCGGCAGGGAUAACCGCUGAAAGCAUCUAAGCGGGAAGCCUACUUCAAGAUAAGAUAUCCCAUGGCGUAAAGUCAUCUGAAGGCUCGUGGUAGACCACCACGUCGAUAGGUCGGGUGUGGAAGUGCAGUAAUGCAUGCAGCUUACCGAUACUAAUCAGCCGUGCGGCUUAUCCAU
rnacentral:ncRNA from 1 species